AGAAUCUAGGUCAUGUGCCAAAAUACCAAUACUAUGUACAAUUCAAAUUCUAGGCUCCAAAAAUGUAUUGCUGGACGAAAUUGGAUAUAAGACCACAGUUGUCACUGUCCAUAAUUCAAGUGGAGAUAGAAGAAUUGUGGCAGGUGCUUAUGCAGCUGAACUAUAAUCAAUGAAGUAGAAGACCUAGACUGCCUCACUGACGACUGUGUAUUUUAUAGGGCAGAUGGGAUGGCUGAAGUAAGCUU